rnacentral:rRNA from 1 species
CCCGGGAGUACGCCCGAACGGGAAACCGUGGAUUAACUACCGGAUGAGGACCGGGACCCGCGAGUGGGCGGGAGUCCGGGAAAGGCGCUGCGGCGCCGCCGGGGGAUGAGUCUGCGUCCCAUUAGCUAGACGGCGGGGUAACGGCCCACCGUGGCGACGAUGGGUAGCCGGCCUGAGAGGGUGGACGGCCACAUUGGAACUGAGACACGGUCCAGACUCCUACGGGAGGCAGCAGCUAAGAAUCUUCCGCAAUGGGCGAAAGCCUGACGGAGCGACGCCCGCGUGAACGAAGAAGGCCGUGAGGUUGUAAAGUUCUUUUCGGGAGGGGGAACAACCGUGGCAGGGAAUGGCCGCGGGAUGACGUGAAUCCCGGAAUAAGCCCCGGCUAACUACGUGCCAGCCGCUGC